GAGAUUAAGCAGAAGCGCCCGCUUCUCACCUAAGCUAUAUGCCUCUAGGUUAAUACGAUUAUGUAGAUAAUAGUGGGCGUGCGUAUGCGCCCACUUUUUUAGUGGGAU
rfam:Lactobacillus sp. WiKim39, complete genome.